AGAGUUUGAUCCUGGCUCAGGACGAACGCUGGCGGCGUGCUUAACACAUGCAAGUCGAACGAGAAUCUGUGGAACGAGGAUUCGUCCAAGUGAAGCAGAGGACAGUGGCGGACGGGUAAGUAACGCGUGAGGAACCUGCCUUUCAGAGGGGGACAACAGUUGGAAACGACUGCUAAUACCGCAUGACACAUAGGGGUCGCAUGGCACCUAUGUCAAAGAUUUAUCGCUGAAAGAUGGCCUCGCGUCUGAUUAGCUAGUUGGUGAGGUAACGGCCCACCAAGGCGACGAUCAGUAGCCGGACUGAGAGGUUGAACGGCCACAUUGGGACUGAGAUACGGCCCAGACUCCUACGGGAGGCAGCAGUGGGGAAUAUUGGGCAAUGGGCGCAAGCCUGACCCAGCAACGCCGCGUGAAGGAAGAAGGCUUUCGGGUUGUAAACUUCUUUUGUCAGGGACGAGUAGAAGACGGUACCUGACGAGUAAGCCACGGCUAACUACGUGCCAGCAGCCGCGGUAAUACGUAGGUGGCAAGCGUUGUCCGGAUUUACUGGGUGUAAAGGGCGUGUAGCCGGGUCGGCAAGUCAGAUGUGAAAUUCACGGGCUCAACUCGUGAACUGCAUUUGAAACUGUUGAUCUUGAGUAUCGGAGAGGCAAUCGGAAUUCCUAGUGUAGCGGUGAAAUGCGUAGAUAUUAGGAGGAACACCAGUGGCGAAGGCGGAUUGCUGGACGACAACUGACGGUGAGGCGCGAAAGCGUGGGGAGCAAACAGGAUUAGAUACCCCUGGUAGUCCACGCUGUAAACGAUGAAUACUAAGGUGUGCCGGGGACUGACCCCCCUGCGUGGCCGCAGCUAACGGCAAUAAGUAUUCCACCCUGGGGGAGUACCGUUCCGCAAGAUUAAAACUCCAAAGGGAAUUUGACGGGGGGCCCGCCAAGCGGUGGAGUAUGUGGUUUAAUUCGACGCAACGCGAAGAACCUUACCAGGUCUUGACAUUGAUCGCUAUUCCAAGAAAUUGGAAGUUCCUCUUCGGAGGACGAGAAAACAGGUGGUGCACGGCUGUCGUCAGCUCGUGUCAUGAGAUGUUGGGUUAAGUCCCGCAACGAGCGCAACCCCUAUCUUAUGUUACCAGCACGUUAUGGUGGGGACUCAUGAGAGACCGCCGCGGACAACGCGGAGGAAGGUGGGGAUGACGUCAAGUCAUCAUGCCCCUUAUGACCUGGGCUACACACGUACUACAAUGGGUGUCAACAAAGAGAAGCGAAGCCGCGAGGCAGAGCAAACCUCAAAAACACACCCCCAGUUCAGAUUGCAGGCUGCAACCCGCCUGCAUGAAGUAGGAAUCGCUAGUAAUCGCGGGUCAGCAUACCGCGGUGAAUACGUUCUCGGGCCUUGCACACACCGCCCGUC
rnacentral:rRNA from 1 species